UACGUAGGUGGCAAGCGUUGUCCGGAUUUACUGGGCGUAAAGAGCGCGCAGGCGGUCGUUCAAGUCGCGUGUGAAAGCCCCCGGCUCAACUGGGGAGGGUCACGCGAUACUGAUCGACUGGAAGGCAGGAGAGGGUAGUGGAAUUCCCGGUGUAGUGGUGAAAUUCGUAGAUAUCGGGAGGAACACCGGUGGCGAAGGCGGCGACCUGGGUCGAUACUGACGCUGAGGUGCGAAAGCGUGGGGAGCAAACAGG
rnacentral:rRNA from 1 species